rnacentral:hammerhead_ribozyme from 1 species
GCACUGCUGAAGAGUCGCACCAUAAGACGAAACGACCGUCUAGUGC